AUUGAACGCUGGCGGCAGGCUUAACACAUGCAAGUCGAGCGGAGUGGUGGUGCUUGCACUAUGACUUAGCGGCGGACGGGUGAGUAAUGCUUAGGAAUCUGCCAGGUAGUGGGGGACAACGUUUCGAAAGGAACGCUAAUACCGCAUACGUCCUACGGGAGAAAGCAGGGGACCUUCGGGCCUUGCGCUAUCAGAUGAGCCUAGGUCGGAUUAGCUAGUUGGUGAGGUAAUGGCUCACCAAGGCGACGAUCCGUAACUGGUCUGAGAGGAUGAUCAGUCACACUGGAACUGAGACACGGUCCAGACUCCUACGGGAGGCAGCAGUGGGGAAUAUUGGACAAUGGGCGAAAGCCUGAUCCAGCCAUGCCGCGUGUGUGAAGAAGGUCUUCGGAUUGUAAAGCACUUUAAGUUGGGAGGAAGGGUUGUAGAUUAAUACUCUGCAAUUUUGACGUUACCGACAGAAUAAGCACCGGCUAACUCUGUGCCAGCCGCCGCCGUAAAAC
rnacentral:rRNA from 1 species